UAGCGGAGGAAAAGAAACCAACCGGGAUUGCCUUAGUAACGGCGAGUGAAGCGGCAAAAGCUCAAAUUUGAAAUCUGGUACCUUCGGUGCCCGAGUUGUAAUUUGGAGAGGGCAACUUUGGGGCCGUUCCUUGUCUAUGUUCCUUGGAACAGGACGUCAUAGAGGGUGAGAAUCCCGUGUGGCGAGGAGUGCGGUUYUUUGUAAAGUGCCUUCGAAGAGUCGAGUUGUUUGGGAAUGCAGCUCUAAGUGGGUGGUAAAUUCCAUCUAAAGCUAAAUAUUGGCGAGAGACCGAUAGCGAACAAGUACAGUGAUGGAAAGAUGAAAAGAACUUUGAAAAGAGAGUGAAAAAGUACGUGAAAUUGUUGAAAGGGAAGGGCAUUUGAUCAGACAUGGUGUUUUGUGCCCUCUGCUCCUUGUGGGUAGGGGAAUCUCGCAUUUCACUGGGCCAGCAUCAGUUUUGGUGGCAGGAUAAAUCCAUAGGAAUGUAGCUUGCCUCGGUAAGUAUUAUAGCCUGUGGGAAUACUGCCAGCUGGGACUGAGGACUGCGACGUAAGUC
rnacentral:rRNA from 1 species